GCUCUGAUUUAAGGAAACGUGGUUGCGCCGCUCGCUGAGCGAGGUGACUGAGCGCGACAAAGAUUGCGCCCAGAUAAGUCUGACGUGCACUCGGUAGUAAGUGGUGGACGAGAAACGUCAAGGCCAAGGGGAGGGGGCAUUUUUGUUAUCGAAAAGCCCCUGAAACAACAGCUGAAGAACUUUCUGUAGGCUAAACCUUUUUGGCUCGCUCAGAAGGUCCGUUUGGGUGUUUAGUAUUUGCAGGGAGCACCUGUUGUUCUCUUCCUGCCUGUAGGUGUUUUAUGCUCACAUCUCCAUUUUAAAAAACAUUUUUCUCGCGUGGAGAAUUUGUUGAUGACUUGGCUGGAUAGAGGGUGAUUCAAGAAGAAUUGCGCCUUGGCACCCAGAUUCCCAGACACCUCACUUUGCAGCUUCUUCCAGAGAGAACACCUCCAGAACCUCAUGCAUCUUCAUUUUCAGCCUUGCAGUGCACAAGCUCCUUCCACAUAGGCCAUGUCAUUAUAUCCUUACAAUGACACGGUGAAACGGGCUGUCCCAAUGUUCCCAUUUAUCAUCACUACCUCCUGUUGUUGCUUUACUUGGACAAGAUGGAAAAACAUGAAAUUGAGACCUGUCUUGACUGCAGAUGUAGAAAUUUGUCUUCUGAUUCCUAGUUUCUAACUUUAAGCUAUCCAAUCUAGUCUUCAGCUAGGUGACGUUUAAUAAAUGCCCUAGAAUUGUGCCUUUUUCAGGCAAAAAGUAGCCUGGUAACAUUUUUGCUUCAUUUCAUAUUGGUUAUUGAUGGGACAGUCUCAAUUCAAGACUUAUAAAGACCAAAUAAAUCUGUGUAUCUCCUUUACGCUCUGUACUUCAGCCCAUACACUGUGACACAUUUGAUAAGUGCUGUACUAUUUGAGGAUGAGUUAGAAACACUGAUAUAAGACAAAGCGUUGUGCCCUUCAAGGCUCCUUGAUCUGUUUACAUUGAUAUUAAUAGAUGGCUCUGGGCUUCAGUCACAGACCUGAAUAAUUCAGGUCA